rnacentral:rRNA from 1 species
UACGAAGGGUGCAAACGUUGCUCGGAAUUAUUGGGCGUAAAGCGCACGUAGGCGGCUUGGCAAGUCGGAUGUGAAAUCCCUCGGCUCAACCAAGGAAGUGCAUCCGAAACUGCUGAGCUUGAGUACUUAAGAGGAUCGCGGAAUUCCCGGUGUAGAGGUGAAAUUCGUAGAUAUUCGGAGGAACACCAGUGGCGAAGGCGGCUCACUGGUCCAUUACUGACGCUGAGGUGCGAAAGCGUGGGGAGCAAACAGG